GACGAACGUUGGCGGCGUGCUUAAUACAUGCAAGUCGACUGAAGCAGUGGUAGGAAUAUCGCUGUGGUGGUGGCGCACGGGGGAGGAACACGUAGGUAAUCUGCCUUCAGGUCUGGCAUAACUACGUGAAACCGGGGCUAAUAGCAGAUGAUGCAGCGGCGCGACAUCGAGACAGUAGGUAAAACACUGGCGUCUGAAGACGAGCCGUCGUCUGCUUAGUUAGUUGGCGGGGUAGCAGACCACCAAGGCAACGAUGAACAGAUGGGCUGAGAGGAUGAUCAGGAACACUGAAACGGAGACACGGUCCAGACGCCGACGGGAUGCAGAAGUAAGGAAUAUUGCUGAAUGGGAGAAAGACUGAAGCAGCGUCGCUGCGGGAGGGCCGAAGGUCUUUUGCUUGUAAUCCUAUGUAGGAAGAGAAAAAAAUCCCAAUCUUUGGAACAUGACGGUACCUAAAAAGUAAGCCACGGCUAACUACGUG
rnacentral:rRNA from 1 species